rnacentral:tRNA from 1 species
GGAGAGGUGGCCGAGCGGCUUAAGGCGGCGCCCUGCUAAGGCGUUGGUCCCUCACGGGGCUCGCGGGUUCGAAUCCCGCCCUCUCCGCCA